rnacentral:rRNA from 1 species
UACGGAGGGUGCAAGCGUUAUCCGGAUUCACUGGUUUAAAGGGUGCGUAGGUGGGUUGAUAAGUCAGUGGUGAAAUCCCCCGAGCUUAACUUGGGAACUGCCAUUGAUACUAUUGAUCUUGAAUACCGUGGAGGUCAGCGGAAUAUGUCAUGUAGCGGUGAAAUGUUUAGAUAUGACACAGAACACCCAUUGCGAAGGCAGCUCGCUACACUGAUAUUGACACUGAGGCACGAAAGCGUGGGGAGCAAACAGG